UCGCGUCAAGCGCCGCAGGCAGGAGCGGGGGACCCAAGGUAAGUGCCGGGUCCGGCAGUUGAGGAGACUCGACGCCGGAACCGGCUAGGGGUGGAGCCGCAGCUCGCGAGAGCCGCGGCCGGGCAACUCAACCGGCCCGAACCCGACAGCUCACCUCGCAGGCGUCGGUGAGGGGAUCG
rfam:Streptomyces sp. TSRI0107 scaffold6, whole genome shotgun sequence.